rnacentral:rRNA from 1 species
UCGAGAAUCAUUCACAAUGGGGGAAACCCUGAUGGUGCAACGCCGCGUGGAGGAUGACGGUCCUCGGAUUGUAAACUCCUGUCAUCUGGGAGUAAGACCUGACGGUCAACAGCCGGCAGGGUUGAUAGUACCAGAAGAGGAAGGGACGGCUAACUUCGUGCCAGCAGCCGCGGUAAUACGAAGGUCCCAAGCGUUGUUCGGAAUCACUGGGCGUAAAGGGUGCGUAGGUGGGGCGGUAAGUCAGAUGUGAAAGCCCGGGGCUUAACCCCGGAACUGCAUCCGAUACUACCGGACUAGAGGACCGGAGAGGAGAUUGGAAUUCUCGGUGUAGCAGUGAAAUGCGUAGAGAUCGAGAGGAACACUCGUGGCGAAAGCGAGUCUCUGGACGGAUCCUGACGCUGAGGCACGAAGGCCGGGGUAGCGAAAG